CAACGCUAGCAAGUGAAAUCAGAUUUUCCAUGUUUGGACCAAAUUUCUCAAAUUUCCUACUGGCAGGGGUCAAGCUCUAAUGAAAGCUUUUAAAGUUCAUGUGUGCCAGCUAAUUAGUUGUCUGGAGAACCCACAGAUCAUCUGUUCUGGCUCCAUCUCCUUAUCUCAGGAAGGAAGAAAAUGGCAUCCAGAAAACCAAAAGUGACAGGUCCCAGAACACAGCUGGGUGGUGGCCCAACAGACUGUUGCUGCAAUGUUGUCUUGCAUACAGUUUGCUGUCAAGAAGACUGACACCCACCUAAUUAUUUUCCUUUUGU